rnacentral:rRNA from 1 species
GACGAACGCUGGCGGCGUGCUUAACACAUGCAAGUCGAACGGUGAAGGGACCGGUUUUUGCUGGUUCUGGAUGAGUGGCGAACGGGUGAGUAACACGUGAGUAACCUGCCCCCUUCUUCUGGAUAACCGCAUGAAAGUGUGGCUAAUACGGGAUAUUCUGCGCCUGCUGCAUGGUGGGUGUGGGAAAGAUAUUGUUUCGGUGGGGGAUGGGCUCGCGGCCUAUCAGCUUGUUGGUGGGGUGAUGGCCUACCAAGGCGGUGACGGGUAGCCGGCCUGAGAGGGUGGGGGGCCCAACGGGGACAGAGCGCGGGCGGGGACGCCAGGGGGAGGCGGCGGGGGGGAGUGUGGGAGAGUGGGCGAGGGUGUGUGGCCGUGACGCGCCGGGGUGGCUGGAGGCUUGGGUGUGGGAACGCUCUUUCGCUAGGGAGGCAGGCCUGCCCCUUUUGUGGGGGGGUUGCCGGUAGGUGAAGAAGAGGACCCGGCUAACUAGGUG